UGUAUGAUCGAUUUUUCCUUU
rnacentral:piRNA from 1 species